rnacentral:lncRNA from 1 species
GCUCAGUGUCGUGGUUAUGUGAUGAGGUAAAAGACUAAGUUUGGUUCGGACUCAGUUUGAGGAGACAGUGCGAGAGAUUGAUGGAGGACUGGAUCACCUGCAGUGGAGAGGAAACAUCACUUCCCAAACCUCACUUCACUGACACUGAAAGCCUUUUGUUGCAGUAUGACCCAUCCAGGUUUCAGUCCCAUGACCGUCUGGAUGAUUCAGAGAGGGAACAGAAAACACAGAAUGAGGGCAGUGAGAAAUCUCUCCCACAGUCUGAAAUCCAGGUACUGGAGAGAGACGAAGCUGCUGAAACAGCCAGAAGAGAUUCUUCCACGCCUGUGGAUGAUAUUGUGGACAAGAGAGGAGAGAAUGUGGUCAUAAAAAACCUGAUGGAUGGUUCUACUAAACUUUGCAGUACCGUGAAUUCAGAUGUCAGCCUCAGCAGCUUAUUUCAGACAGGAACAAAUUUGCAUUCAGUUUUUAAAACCACAGCACACACUCUUGACUCUCUGAAGCAGCAGCGGAGCGCUUUAGCCAUGGAGGUGCUGUGGAUCCAGCAAGCCAUCAGUAGCAGAAAGAAAUAUCUUACCCUCAAACUGAGAAUGGAUGUGCCACACUGAUACUGGACCAGUUCUAAAGUGGACCAACAUUUUAAAAGAUGUUUUCUCAUAAUUUCUGUAUUAAUGUAACAUGUACAGCACAGAAUGUUUGAGAAUUGUCGUAAAUUAUAUUUAUUUAUGAGCUUCUUUUGUCUAUAAAUGGGUUUGUGUUAAAGAAGAUUUUUAUUUUUGUACAAAUGGCAUUUCAGAAAUAAAUAUAAUAUGCACGUGAUGGACUUUUUCUGUAUCACACAAAGCCAGUACAGUUCAAUCCUAGAUGGACGUCAAAGGCUCCCACAACUUAAUCUUACAGAUCAGUCAAUGUAGUGAAAUAUCUCUCUAAUUAUUGACUUGUAUUGAGACUGUAUAACCACCUGAGAACUGAUCUCUUGAUGUUGCCUGCCCUGGUUUCUCUCAUGGUUUAUUUCUACGGUUAUCCAAAAUCAAGUUUUUCUUGCCUUGCCAGAGUUGCCUUUAGGGUACUAAAUAUAUUAUAUAGGCUACUACGUACAAUGUUGUAAUGUAUAAGUAGUAUCAUGCCAUGACUUUCAAUUAAAUCUUUGGUUUACCUAGAAUGGACGUCAAAAGGCUCCCACAACUUAAUCUUACAGAUCAGUCAAUGUAGUGAAAUAUCUCUCUAAUUAUUGACUUGUAUUGAGACUGUAUAACCACCUGAGAACUGAUCUCUUGAUGUUGCCUGCCCUGGUUUCUCUCAUGGUUUAUUUCUACGGUUAUCCAAAAUCAAGUUUUUCUUGCCUUGCCAGAGUUGCCUUUAGGGUACUAAAUAUAUUAUAUAGGCUACUACGUACAAUGUUGUAAUGUAUAAGUAGUAUCAUGCCAUGACUUUCAAUUAAAUCUUUGGUUUAAUUGUUUAUGGGUGAGUGAUAUAAUAAACAUUUAAACCCUGUCAGUUGUAUGCAUGUAUAUAUAUAUAUAUGUGUGUGUGUGUGUGUGUAUAAUAUAGUUAAUAUUAUUGUCUAGUGAUAUAUUUAAAGAUGGAUAUAAUCUAGUAGAAGCACCACUUUACCUGUACACAUACAGUAUAGGCACGUGAACCGCUGUAUAAAUGUGAAGUUGGAUAUAUACAGGAUAUAUCCAACUUUAUCUAAAUGCAGAGCCUUCAAUACACUCACGAAGCGAUAUGCACUAUAUAGCAAAUCCCAGCUAUUUAAUUGUUUAUAUUGGUGUAGGCCUAAGCUAUAUUGUCGCCCAGAGCUGGGUAGAUUACUUACAAACUCCAAAUUACAUGACAAAAGUUGUAGUUAGUAAGGUAAUCCUUUACAUUACACAUUUUAUUUUUGAUUAUUUUAGUAUUAUUUUGACCUAACUUGUUUAUCCUAUUUCUGAUUUAAAUAGGAUAAUCUUGUACCCUAUCAUCUAUCAUCUAAAAACAUAAAGAAAAAGAAAGUAUAUUUAAUUUGUUGUUUUUGACAAAAUGAAGUGCAUUUAACAUU